GGGAUUGCCUCAGUAACGGCGAGUGAAGCGGCAACAGCUCAAAUUUGAAAUCUGGCUCCUUCGGGGUCCGAGUUGUAAUUUGUAGAGAGUGUUUCGGGGGAGACCGCGGUCUAAGUCCAUUGGAACAUGGUGUCAUAGAGGGUGAGAAUCCCGUAUGUGACCGUGGAUCGAACCCAUGUGAAGCCUCUUCGACGAGUCGAGUUGUUUGGGAAUGCAGCUCAAAAUGGGUGGUAAAUUUCAUCUAAAGCUAAAUACUGGCUGGAGACCGAUAGCGCACAAGUAGAGUGAUCGAAAGAUGAAAAGCACUUUGGAAAGAGAGUUAAACAGUACGUGAAAUUGUUGAAAGGGAAGCGCUGGCAACCAGACCUGCCCGUAGGCGAUCAGUCGCUGUUCUCAGCGGUGCACUCGCUCUGCGAUCAGGCCAGCAUCGGUUUCGGCGGUCGGAUAAAGGCCUUGGGAAUGUAGCUUCCUUUCGGGGGAGUCUUAUAGCCCUCGGUGCAAUGCGGCCAGCCGGGACCGAGGACCGCGCUUCGGCUAGGAUGCUGGCGUAAUGGUUGUCAGCGACCCGUCUUGAAACACGGACCAAGGAGUCUAACAUCUAUGCGAGUGUUUGGGUGUCAAACCCAUGCGCGGAAUGAAAGUGAACGGAGGUGAGAACCCUUAAGGGCGCAUCAUCGACCGAUCCAGAUGUCUUCGGAUGGAUUUGAGUAUGAGCAUAGCUGUUGGGACCCGAAAGAUGGUGAACUAUGCCUGAAUAGGGUGAAGCCAGAGGAAACUCUGGUGGAGGCUCGCAGCGGUUCUGACGUGCAAAUCGAUCGUCAAAUUUGGGUAUAGGUAUGUUUUUGAUCCCAGAGAUAUUCAGAUUCAAUGCUAAUUCUUUUCUAUAGGGGCGAAA
rnacentral:rRNA from 1 species